CCGACUGCUAUUUGGGUGAGGAUAAGCCAUGCGAGUUGAAUGGGAUACCCAAAGUUCCCAUGGCAUACUGCUCAGUAACACAUGAUCAACUUACCCUAUAGAGGAAAAUACCCUCGGGAAACUGAGGAUAAUAUUCCAUAGUUGAAUCGGCUUGGAAAAGUUUUUCAAUAGAAGGGAUAAGGAAAAUGGUUCUUAUCUGCUAUAGGAUAGGAUCGUGCUCGAUUAUGGUUGUUGGUGAGGUAAAGGCUCACCAAGCCGAUAAUCGAUAGGGGCCGUGAGAGCGGGAGCCCCGAGAUGGGUACUGAGACAACGACCCAGGCCUUACGAGGCGCAGCAGGCGCGAAACCUCCGCAAUACACGAAAGUGUGACGGGGUUACCCAAAGUGUUCUAUUUAGAACUGUGGUAGGUGAGUAAUGUCCCCUACUAGAAAGGAGAGGGCAAGGCUGGUGCCAGCCGCCGCGGUAAAACCAGCUCUUCAAGUGGUCGGGAUAAUUAUUGGGCUUAAAGUGUCCGUAGCCGGUUUAGUAAGUUCCUGGUAAAAUCGGGUAGCUUAACUAUCUAUAUGCUAGGAAUACUACUAUACUAGAGGGCGGGAGAGGUCUGAGGUACUACAGGGGUAGGGGUGAAAUCUUAUAAUCCUUGUAGGACCACCAGUGGCGAAGGCGUCAGACUGGAACGCGCCUGACGGUGAGGGACGAAAGCCAGGGGAGCGAACCGGAUUAGAUACCCGGGUAGUCCUGGCCGUAAACGAUGCAUACUAGGUGAUGGCAUGGCCAUGAGCCAUGUCAGUGCCGUAGGGAAACCGUUAAGUGUGCCGCCUGGGAAGUACGGUCGCAAGGCUAAAACUUAAAGGAAUUGGCGG
rnacentral:rRNA from 1 species